rnacentral:piRNA from 1 species
UGGGCCGCUGUGUUACCCAUCAGUA